UCUCAAAUUCUUUAAGAUCAAUUUUUAAUUGAAUACAUCUGGAAUGUUAUAAACUUCUUUAAAAUCCUAAUUGAAUACAUCAGGAUUUCUAAGGAUUUUAAUAAAUUAUCUUAAAAUUCUGAUUGAAUACUUCUAAAUCCAUUAAAAGAAUUAAAAUCUUUCAAAAUCCCAAUUGAAUACACCGUCUUUAGUUAAGGGUAAAAUUGGCUUAUUUGGAGCAAGAAAAAGGUAAGAAAAUAGAAGCACAAAACGAAAUUGCUGAGAAAUUUCCUAUAGACAAUGUUGUUUGAUCCAACAAAAAAAAACAACCACCGAGUUCACUCGUUGCAAACCUUCCAUGAAAAUAAGACACUAAAUUUGCGGCAUCUCAAACAUAGUUUUAUGAAUUGGUUCGAGACACGAACACCUUUGACGGUUUUGUCUGUCUCUUUUGUCGCACUUGUAGCAAAACAUUUGUCCCUCCCAAGUAUGAACACUUGAAAUAUAAAUCGAGUACGACAAAAUAGAGAGAGAGAGUGUGGGGAACAGGUGGAAUGGCACCGACUCUAGCAACUUGAGCCAGCUUCGUUCGAGGUUUCUUUUUCUCUUCUUUUUUGGGUUAAAAGUUAAAAGAAUGCAGUUGUUCCAGCACUCAGUCAGUCUCGUCUCAAUACUUAUGUUGCCUCGGUUUUUGCUGUAUCCCAAGGUUUUAUUAGUCAAAGUGUUAAUACUGAUAAUGUUAGCGAGAAACACCUAAAGAAUUGGAUUACGGGAGAAAAUCAGUCACUUGUCGUGCAAUCGGAUGCAAUAAGCAUGCCACUGCAUUUGAGGUAGACAACGACGCUUCAUAUUCUAUGAAACCGUCCGCUGUUUCUGUCAUAGAUACUGCGAAGAAUACGGUGCCCCCACAUUUAACAAUAGAAGGGUUGGAGCAUUCUUCUAUCUGCCCCCUCCUCCGCAUGCGGCGUUAAGACUCAUGAGCUGUAGUUAAUUUUUGAGUGUGACAUUUAACACAUCCGAUCUCAUGAGUCUAAUGUCGUAUACGAAGAAAAAAGAUGAAAGAAGUAUGAUAGGGGUAGAGCUCUUCGGCUAGAUCUGAUUCGGAAAUAGCCCGCACUUAGUGUGAUCCUGUAUAAUAACGAACGGAACACUAGCUAUAUGCUUAACACAUCUAUCUUGGCUUGGUUUUAAAUUAUUCGUGCAGGCCGGCCAAAUGUUAGAACUUUGCAAUGUGUGUAUUGCUAUCGAAACUUCCCUUGUAACAACCACGGGAUGGUCCAAUGGUUGGGAAAGAAGUUCAGGUUCGUAUUCCACACGACACGUUCUGAGUUUGAUUCCUGACGCUCGUGAAUCAAACGAUGGUAGUCAGGCAAGGUUGAAAGACUCCAGUGAGUCUUUCUGACCCCCUCAAAAGGUGGAUUGUCGUGGUUAAGCCACCAGCUGGUCCUCUUUUUAAAGAAAAAAAAUUUUAAAAACAUAAAAUUUUACAUUUGUUAGAAAGUAGCAUUUGGACAGGAAAAUCCAUUUAGACAACUCACCACAAUGUCAACUUCUUAGAUGGUUGACAAGGAGAAAAUUUGAAUUGUGUGGAGAGAGAGAGAUACACACUUGUAUGUAUCGAGUGGUAGAAAUUAAACAUCUUGUAUCCAGUGAUAGAAUGAUUGUUUAAUGAAGAAAAUAACAGACACAUAAUUGCAUACAACAGAUCAGGAAAAAGAUAUUCAUGGCCGGUUGUAUACAAGUGGAUAAGGAUCGCAAGAGAUAUUGGCCACACUCGUUCGGCCUGUCAACCUUGACAAGUCUAAAGAGGCUUUCUGCUACCACAAUCAUCUGUUGGGCCCGUUUGAUGUAUACUGGAUCGGUUCACAGAUGGACUUUAAACAAAAGCAGAAGUCCCACAAAGCACAAGCACAACCAUUUGAAUAUAGACUGCUUUUAUUUCC